UUCGAUUAGUAACUGGGAUCGGUCCCAACCGAAUCGUUUGAUUUCCGAUUCGAUUCAACGAUUUUUAAAACCCUGCAAACCCUGCCACUUAUCUGCUGAGGUUUGUUGCUGUCUGCUUCCGUUGCCGGAGAAGUGCUUGCUUCCCCUACGGCUACUGCUACUCUCUCCGGAUCCAACAUCAACACCACUAAGGUUCGGUGAAGAGUGCAGAGUGGGAAGGGCAAGAGAGGAAUUGAGUUUCCCUUCUCCUCCAUUGUCUUCAUCACUUCAUACGCAUUCGUUUGAAGAUAAAGAGACGAGCAAAGACCAGGAAAAGGAGGAGAAAGUGCUAUUAGUAGUUAGAUCGGCUGAUUCUGGACGAUUCUUGUUGGAUUCGAAACGGAAUUAGAUUGGAAUUUGCCGGUGGCGAUUCAAAGGAUAUGAUUCCGGGUUCUUUAACCUCGAGUCCAAUGGGUUUAUUGUUCCGUAUAGUUUUGACAAAGUUUUCAGUUUUCUUGCUUCUUUACGAUGGACUAUGGGAGUAACAUACCUUUAGUUCUCAGUUUCCUCUGCUAUGAACUACUUGUGGCACUGAAGUUAGUUGCAAUCAUGUUCAGAGCUUAGGGUACACAGAUGGGUUUGGAAGAAGCUACACUAUGAUGCAGUUGCACUUGAUAUGGGUGAUUACCAGAAUGCACAUUGAAGUUUACAAAUACCCAACAUGGGGUGAUGCAAUUGAGAUUGAGACAUGGUAUGAAGGUGGAAGAGUUGGGAACAGACGUUACU